UACGUAGGGUGCAAGCGUUAAUCGGAAUUACUGGGCGUAAAGCGUGCGCAGGCGGCUUUGCAAGACAGAUGUGAAAUCCCCGGGCUCAACCUGGGAACUGCAUUUUGUAACUGCAUGGCUAGAGUACGGUAGAGGGGGAUGGAAUUCCGCGUGUAGCAGUGAAAUCGAGAGAUGUGGAGGAAUACCGAUGGCGAAGGCAGCCCCCUGGGUCAAUACUGACUCAUGCACAAAGCUGGGGAGCAAACAGG
rnacentral:rRNA from 1 species